rnacentral:rRNA from 1 species
AGAUGAGAAUGUGCCUUCGGGAACCGUGAGACAGGUGCUGCAUGGCUGUCGUCAGCUCGUGUUGUGAAAUGUGGGUUAAGUCCCGCAACGAGCGCAACCUUAUCCUUGUUGCCAGCGGUCCGGCCGGGAACUCAAAGGAGACUGCCAGUGAUAAACUGGAGGAAGGUGGGGAUGGACGUCAAGUCAUCAUGGCCCUUACGACCAGGGCUACACACGUGCUACAAUGGCGCAUACAAAGAGAAGCGACCUCGCGAGAGCAAGCGGACCUCAUAAAGUGCGUCGUAGUCCGGAUUGGAGUCUGCAACUCGACUCCAUGAAGUCGGAAUCGCUAGUAAUCGUGGAUCAGAAUGCCACGGUGAAUACGUUCCCGGGCCUU